GAUGAAGAACGUAGCGAAAUGCGAUACGUAAUGUGAAUUGCAGAAUUCAGUGAAUCAUCGAAUCUUUGAACGCACAUUGCGCUCUCUGGUAUUCCGGAGAGCAUGCUUGUUUGAGUAUCAGUAAACACCUCAACUCCUUUAUUGUAGUUGGACUUGAGCUAUCCCAACAGGACUUUUUGUUCCUGGCGGGAGGCUUGAAAUGUAGGUGCAGCUGGACUUUCUUCUGAGCUAUAAGCAUAUUUAUUUAAUCCCUUAACACGGAUUAUUACUUUUUUGCUGCAGCUAACAUAAAGGUUGAAUUUCCAUUGAGCUGACUGAUGCAGGAAUUUGGCAAGGAAUUUUUUUAAUGACUUGUUAAACUCGAUCUCAAAUCAAGUAAGACUACCCGCUGAAUUUAAGCAUAUCAAUAAGCGGAGGA
rnacentral:misc_RNA from 1 species